rnacentral:rRNA from 1 species
UACGGGGGGGGCAACCGUUGUUCGGAAUUACUGGGCGUAAAGGGCUCGUAGGCGGCCAACUAAGUCGGAUGUGAAAUCCCCAGGCUCAACUUGGGAACUGCAUCCGAUACUGGAUGGCUUGAAUUCGGGAGAGGGAUGCAGAAUUCCAGGUGUAGCGGUGAAAUGCGUAGAUAUCUGGAGGAAUACCGGUGGCGAAGGCGGCAUCCUGGACCGACAUUGACGCUGAGGCGCGAAAGCUAGGGGAGCAAACGGG